UACGUAGGGGGCUAGCGUUGUCCGGAAUCAUUGGGCGUAAAGCGCGCGUAGGCGGCCAGAUAAGUCCGGUGUGAAAGCCACAGGCUCAACCUGUGAAUGCCGCUGGAAACUGUCUGGCUAGAGUCCGGGAGGGGCGAGUGGAAUUCCUGGUGUAGCGGUGGAAUGCGUAGAUAUCGGGAGGAACACCAGUGGCGAAGGCGGUUACCUGGAGCUUUGCUGACGCUGAUGCGCGAAAGCGUGGGGAGCGAUCCGG
rnacentral:rRNA from 1 species